rnacentral:rRNA from 1 species
UACGUAGGGGGCAAGCGUUGUCCGGAAUCAUUGGGCGUAAAGCGCGUGUAGGCGGUCCGGUAAGUCCGCUGUGAAAGUCGGGGGCUCAACCCUCGGAUGCCGGUGGAUACUGUCGGGCUUGAGUACGGAAGAGGCGAGUGGAAUUCCCGGUGUAGCGGUGAAAUGCGCAGAUAUCGGGAGGAACACCAAUGGCGAAGGCAGCUUGCUGGGACGGUACUGACGCUGAGGCGCGAAAGCGUGGGGAGCAAACAGG